rnacentral:rRNA from 1 species
CCCUUAGAUGUUCUGGGCCGCACGCGCGCUACACUGAUGCAUUCAACGAGCCUAGCCUUGACCGAGAGGUCCGGGUAAUCUUUGAAACUGCAUCGUGAUGGGGCUAGAUUAUUGCAAUUAUUAAUCUUCAACGAGGAAUGCCUAGUAAGCGUGAUUCAUCAAAUCGCGUUGAUUACGUCCCUGCCCUUUGUACACACCGCCCGUCGCUCCUACCGAUUGAGUGUGUUGGUGAGGAGUUUGGAUUGGCCUCGGAAGGUGGUUCGCCACCGUCCGUAGCUGAGAAGUUCUCCAAACCGCCCCAUUUAGAGGAAGGAGAAGUCGUAACA